CCAAUGCUAGAUAAGUGGGAAGGAAUUAAGCAGCUCAAAGCAGCUCUUUGGGCUUUGGGCAACAUUGGAUCAUCAAAUUGGGGUCUUAACUUGCUUCAAGAGGAGAAUGUGAUCCCUGAUAUAAUGGCACUUGCCCAGCAUUGCGAGGUUCUCUCCGUUAGAGGCACCUGUGUCUACGUGCUUGGUUUAAUUGCCAAAACCAAACAAGGAUGUGACAUUUUAAAACAUCACAACUGGGAUGCAGUGAGGCACAGUCGUAGACAGCCUUGGCCAGUGGUCCCUGAUGACAUGGAGCAGCUCUGCAAUGAACUUUCUUCUAUACCCAGCACUCUUAGCUUGAACUCUGAGUCCACUAGUUCUAGGCAUAAUAGUGAAAGUGAAUCUGCACC